ensembl:lncRNA
AACAAAUCAAUCUUCCUUUAGCAACUUCCCCUGAAAAUUAGUUGGCAACACUGCCCCUGGGGAUUUUUUAAUUUUUUCGAAUUUUAGGUGUGCGUUAAGGAGGCUGCCUUGUCAGUGGCGCACGAGAUGCGAUGACGAUAACCUGCUCAGCCCUUAUCAUCAGCCAGCAAAUCCACUAAGAUUGUACCUUCACCAGCUAAAGAAGAUGCAGACUUGCCUCCAGAAGAGACAACAGCGGUAUACUCUCAGGGGAACGCACCAACAUUUACAGCUUCAGAGGUGUCCUGGAUGGAGAUGGCCAGAGAGAAGACCAGAAGUCUCCAACAGCUCUUUACCAGUAGGCUGCCUGAGUUUCCUAGCUUGCAAUCACGACCAACAACCUUAACCACAACACAACCACAAAGCCAAACGUCCACUUCACAAACCAAUCCAAGAAUCACACAGACCAUUUCAAGCCAGCCGACGACUACACAACCUCUUUUGAGACCUCCAGAAACAAAACCAUUGCCAUUUGCACAGCAUUCUGGAAGAUCAACACAAUCUACCACUCAGAUGAUGCAAACUCAGACUAAAACAACAACAAGCCAGCCUUCGGCAAAUUCAACUCAGACUACCACUAGUCAAUCUCAAAUUGACAGUGCCAGAGAAGUCCAGUUUCAGUCCAAGUCUCAAAUUUGUAAUUCGACAACAAAACCAACCCAGUCUACAGUUACAUGCACAUCGACCACACAAACCACCACUGUAUACACAGCAAAACAGCCAUCACAAGCGUUGGCACCGCAGACACCACCCAUCCAGCCGUCAUCACCACUGCGAGCAGCAUCACAGACCCCCACACAAGCUAUACUGCGUCCCACACCACCCCCAGGUUACCCACAUCUAUCGUCAAGCCCAAAGUUAACGUCCCACCUAGUGUCCCAACAGUCUGCCAAUACUGUCUCAAAGGAUCAGCCUCAGAAUGAGGAGAGAGAGCCCACUGUAUUCUCAGGGAAAGCUGACAGGGCGUCUGUGUCUCAGGGGAAGGGGACUAGGCCUGAAGAUGGCAGACCAGUGUGGGCAGCAGGAUCAGGAAACAAGACCUCGCUCUUACAGCGCUGGGAGAACCAAACAACUGCGGCAACCAAGACAGGUGAGCAGAAAUCCACAGCAGACUCCCAAACCACAUCUCAAUCUACAGUUCCUCUCAGACCGAUCUCAGAGGUCUCAGGCACAGGAUUCGACUCAGAAGCAUCAGUCUCUUCUGUUCCCACGAUGUCAGCAGACAGAGAGAAUAAAUGGCAGCAGAAAUCAGUGCCACCAUCAUCACCUUCAUCAUCAUCUCCUCUGCAGUCUGUCCGUGACAGUGCCCAACCAUCCUGGAUGGAGCUGGCCAAGAGGAAAUCCCUGGCAUGGAGUGAUAAGACUAUGGACUAAAAAAACAUUUAUAUGCACAUGGAGGAAGAAUUUACAAGUGCAAGAAAGAACUAUUAAGGGGUUGGAUGCUGAGGUUGGAGUAUCUGAGGGCAUUUUCAUGCUACCGUUUCCUAAGUUGCAUCCAAGCAAUUGUACUUGAGUCAGAGGUUUGCUCCAUGUGAACUUCAGUAGACUUUGAAGUUGAUGUUAAAGCAGUGUGUUCUGGAAGUGAACCACUAUUGCUUGUGUAUAUUAUUGAAGGAAAGUUGCACAUUCAUCAGUCAGUAAACCUCCUAAUAGUGUUUGUCUUCUAAAACCUCAUGUGUGCUGCUUACGUUCUCUCCAUGUGAAGUAUGAAUGUAUACACAGGAGAUAAGUACCAACGAAACAAAAAGGAGAAGUUAAUAUUGUGAGCUUUAAAGCCAUGUUCUCUUGCAACUCUGGCUAACAGCUGCUGGUAAUGUAUUUUGUAAAUGCACCACAGUGCAGCACAAUAGAAAACACUGAGAAAGUAGAUCAGAGGUGGAAGGGGAGGGAAACAAAUUCAGGUUCAGACUCAAUCAAAAGCACCCUGAGUGAGAUCUCAGGAACAGAAACAUAUGGUAGCAUAUGUUUUAUGCACUCACGUGUGUAGACACACAACAACAAUAUACAGUAAUUGUCUCCCAUGUAAUAUGUUGCUCAAUGUUUCUCAGGUUUAACACAUUGUAUCAUUGUUUUCUUGUGAAAAUAAUUAAUUUGAUUGUUUCCUUUCCAAUUACAGAUUUGAUUUAUUUCCAUGAAUUCCAUCCGAGAAUUUGUAUGUAUUGUGACAUUGUAUCAUCUGUUGAUUUUCU